GACGAACGCUGGCGGCGUGCCUAAUACAUGCAAGUCGAGCGGACGGACGAGAAGCUUGCUUCUCUGAUGUUAGCGGCGGGCGGGUGAGUAACACGUGGAUAACCUACCUAUAAGACUGGGAAAACCUCGGGAAACCGGAGAUAAUACCGGAGAAUAUUUUGAACCGCAUGGGUCAAUAGAGAAAGACGGUCUUGCUGGCACGUAUAGAGGCAUACGCGCUGCAUUAGCUAGUUGGUAAGGUAAAAGCUUACCAAGGCAAGUAUGCAUAUCCGACCUGAGGGGCUGAUCGGCCACCCUGGAGCUUAGACACGGUCCAUACUCCUGCGGGAGGCAGCAGUAGGGUAUCGUCCGCAAUGGGCGGAAGCCUGACGGAGCAGCGCGGCGUGAGUGAUGACGGUCCUCGGUUCGUAAAGCUCUGUUAUUAGGUGUGAACAGAUGUGUAAGUAACUGUGCACUUCUUGACGGUACCUAGUCAGAAAGCCACGGCUAACUACGUG
rnacentral:rRNA from 1 species